rnacentral:rRNA from 1 species
GAUGAACGCUGGCGGCGUGCCUAAUACAUGCCAGUCGAGCGAACAGACGAGGAGCUUGCUCCUUCGACGUUAGCGGCGGACGGGUGAGUAACACGUAGGUAACCUACCUAUAAGACUGGGAUAACUUCGGGAAACCGGAGCUAAUACCGGAUAAUAUUUCGAACCGCAUGGUUCGAUAGUGAAAGAUGGCUUUGCUAUCACUUCUAGAUGGACCUGCGCCGUAUUAGCUAGUUGGUAAGGUAACGGCUUACCAAGGCAACGAUACGUAGCCGACCUGAGAGGGUGAUCGGCCACACUGGAGCUGAGACACGGUCCAGACUCCUACGGGAGGCAGCAGUAGGGAAUCUUCCGCAAUGGGCGAAAGCCUGACGGAGCAACGCCGCGUGAGUGAUGAAGGUCUUCGGAUCGUAAAACUCUGUUAUUAGGGAAGAACAAACGUGUAAGUAACUGUGCACGUCUUGACGGUACCUAAUCAGAAAGCCACGGCUAACUACGUG